rnacentral:rRNA from 1 species
AACGAACGCUGGCGGCAUGCCUAACACAUGCAAGUCGAACGAAGUCUUCGGACUUAGUGGCGCACGGGUGCGUAACGCGUGGGAAUCUGCCCUUGGGUGCGGAAUAACUUCUCGAAAGGGAUGCUAAUACCGCAUAAUGUCGUAAGACCAAAGAUUUAUCGCCCAAGGAUGAGCCCGCGUAAGAUUAGCUAGUUGGUGGGGUAAAAGCCUACCAAGGCGACGAUCUUUAGCUGGUCUGAGAGGAUGAUCAGCCACACUGGGACUGAGACACGGCCCAGACUCCUACGGGAGGCAGCAGUGGGAAAUAUUGCGCAAUGGGCGAAAGCCUGACGCAGCGACGCCGCGUGGGUGAUGAAGGCC